AAGGAGAAGGACUGGCUCCCUGUAGACAGAGCACCUAGGCUAGGUCAGUGCUGGGCAGGCUCAGGGGAGCGGAGGGAAAGCUCCAGCCUCAUAAAGCUGCCAGCUGAGGCCCCUGAAAGAAAGGGCCGAGAAGGUGCAAGGGCCAAAGGGAAGUGGCCCAGGGAGCAUGAGCAGUACAGAAGGAGAACAUGGCUGCCACCAGAGGGUCCCUGGGCUGGGACCAGAGUAGUGGGCAGGCCUGGGUUCCCCUUCCCCACCCCCUUACACUGCACCUGGCUGUGGAGGAAUGUGGCCUGAUACAGACUGUGGCUUGCCCCUAAGGCAAGGGCCUAGAUUUUGGGGCUGCAAUUGGCCACGAGGGCAGGUGCAGACCGAGAACUGUGGAUACCCCCGGGAGGGUAGAGAACUGUGGGGCUGUGUCCAGAAGAGGACGCCACAAGCCAAGGAGCAAUGCAGGUCCCAGACAGCACAGCAGAGCCGGCAAUGGGCAGGACACCACCUGCAGAGGGCACUCCAUGGCUAGAACGGAGCUAAUUCCCAGAGCAACCAGCAGGAGGCGCCAGUGGUGCCCCAGAGCAGGUUCUUACCCUCGUGCUCCCGCCCCACCCACAGGCUGCAGGCUCUGUUCAAGGAGGGAGCUGGCAUCCGGCGGCACUGCGAAAUCCUCUCCCACAGGCAGCCCUCUGAGCUCCCGCCAUUUGAAGACGCCAAGCGGGCAUGCUUCUGUGGGAGAGUGAUGGACGGUGGGUUCCAUGAAGGGACAUAAGCAUUGCAAUGCUGAGCCUCGCAACACUGCGAUCGACAAAGUUGAGUCGGGUGCUUGGGUCCCCAGAGGCUGAUAAAGGCUGAAGACUAGUGGCCCUACCAGAGGGACCCUCUCAGUUCCAGGCCUGCAGAAAGCAACCACCAGCACCUACUUGGUGAUGUUCAAAUUUCAGAUGUGAGCACAAGGGCAGAUCCAUUGCAGAGGAGAAUGAUUUCCUGGGGCAAUGCAGCUCUGUGCACUAAUGUCUAAUAAUGAGCCUGGGUGCUUUAGUGUUUGUCUCCUAAACAGGCUUAUUCAUGAAGAGUAAAUAUGUCAGCUAAAUUGCUAAACAAGUUAAAUAUCCGUUGUCUUUUUAAGUUCAGGUUUCACCAUUGAUAUAAAAUGUGAUGUAUAAUCCCCAGGGCCAAGCAGGAUUUGUGAGCCUGCAGAAUGCAACAUUAAACUCAGAGCUCCUGGGCUAAUGAUUGUAAGUCCAUUUUGCAGUAAUGAAUUGUUUGUUAUGGCACAUCAUAGAGCAGAUGUCUCAUCAGUCACUGCACCAGGGACUCUGACACUUG